GAUGUAUUUUCCAUAAACCCAUGUUGAUUUGCAUUAAUUACUUUACCCUCCAUUAGUUCUUCUUAAUUCUAUUAAUCGAGUGCUCUGUCAGCCACUCCAUUAUCUUGCCUGGGGUCAAUGUCAGGCUGACAGGCCUAUAAUUACCCGAGUCACCCAGCUUACCCUUUUCAAAAAUUGUCACAACUUUAGCUUUCUUAUUGAAAAUCAACAUUAAUGGUCCAGCGAACUCCUCAGCCAGGUCUUUUAAAACUCUUGGAUGCAAGUUAUCUGGACCCGCUGAUUUAAAAAUGUUUACAUCACCCACCUUGUCUAUUUAAAAAUGUCUGUUUAGUAGCUUCUGUGUGUGAUUGACAAAUUGUGAUCACUCGAGCUGCAUUCAGAAGGGGCUAGAAUAGCACGAGCCAGUUGCUGAAUUUUUAAUUGGUUGUUUAUUAAUUUAUUUCCUGCCAUUCUAUUAGCUCUUGACUUGUUCUUCUACGUAAAUGACAACAUAUCAACAAUAUUGGCUUACAAAAAUAAUGUGUACCUGAAAAGAUGUGGACCAAAACACAUGCUAUCCCAAUCAGAUGAAGUGAAAGGUGCUGGAUGAACAGCUCUUGCGACUGCAGCCCUUUGUCUAUCCCCGCAAAGGGCCUGUGGACAAGAGUUCUGUCCUUCUGAAGUUCCGAAUGGCUACAGUGUAACAGUGACGACUGUGAAGUUCUGGGAAGCUGGGAUUUGUUACAGUACAUGUACUGCUUACAUUAAAAUGCAGUUGAAGAGUCCCUGCCACUCUCAGGCAAACUUUAAAAUUACUAAGGCUGGACCAAAUCCCCAUGAAGCUGGUGUGUAGUUUGUUUUGUACUUUCCUUUCCCAUCUCUGCAUAGAUUCCUGUGUAUCAGUGAAUACUGGUUCCCUGUCCAGUCCCCCUGGACGAAGAGCCCUGAAUCCGAACACUUUGGAAAAUCUGAAUCUGAACUCCAUGGUUCAGGCCCACUGCACUUUGAAAUCUGCCACUGUUUGGCAAAGGCCCCUUAAGAUGCAAUUCUGUAUGGCUGCAUGCAAGCCAGGAUAUUUAAGGUUAAAGCUCAGAGUCUGUUGUUCACUCACUGCUACCCUGUCCUCAAUUCACUUUGUUGAUUCUAAGUAUAGAAUAAAGAUCGUAUGCAGACCCUCCUCACAUGUUUACUCAGUCCAGUGCUGUAUAUAGGUAAAGGGGAGCAAGCUAAGGUCGUUCUUCCCAGGGAAUUUCUUGCCUUUUGAUUUUGGGCCAGGAGGAAAAACAAGUGCAUUUUUCAUUUACUUACGUAACGUUUGCCCUUAAUUAAAUAGCUGAUAUGACAUGGACAAAAAAUCCAUAAGAUUGCCAUCGGCUUUAUUGAAAGGAAGUGUCCCCUAACCAUAGUUGAGCUUGCCUGUCUAUUUGAAUAGUUAGAAAACUCCUAGUGGUGGCUCUGAUUGGCCAAUGUCAUGGACUCAGCAAUAUUUGUUGGGGUAAAAAAAAUUUUUUUUUUUUUGCAUUCUAAGGAUAGAUUUUCAAAGUACCCAGCGGGGAUGCAUUGCUAGCUGUACUGUGAGGAUGUAAAAUGCUCUUAACCUUAUAACUCUAUGUUCUAGCACAGAGCAAAACCAAGCAGUUACAUUGGACAAAUGGCUGCAUCAUUUUUAAUGAAACAUACAUACUGGAUUGAUGCUGGUGAUAUAUUUGACA